rnacentral:rRNA from 1 species
CGGUGAAAUUUAAAUUCCAGUGAAGAUGCUGGGUACCCGCGACAGGACGGAAAGACCCCGUGGAGCUUUACUGUAGCUUGAUAUUGAAUGUUUGUGCUGCAUGUGCAGGAUAGGUAGGAGACUUUGAAGUCGGAACGCUAGUUUCGAUUGAGUCACCCUUGAGAUACUACCUCUGUUGUAUGAACGUUCUAACUCUGAUCAGUUAUCCUGAUCGAAGACAGUGUCUGGCAGGCAGUUUGACUGGGGCGGUCGCCUCCUAAAAGAUAACGGAGGCGCUCAAAGGUUUGCUCAGAAUGGUUGGAAAUCAUUCGUAGCGUGUAAAGGCAUAAGCAAGCUUGACUGUGAGACUGACAAGUCGAGCAGGUACGAAAGUAGGACUUAGUGAUCCGGUGGUUCCGUAUGGAAGGGCCAUCGCUCAACGGACAAAAGCUACCCCGGGGAUAACAGGCUCAUCUCCCCCAAGAGUCCACAUCGACGGGGAGGUUUGGCACCUCGAUGUCGGCUCAUCGCAUCCUGGGGCUGUAGUCGGUCCCAAGGGUUGGGCUGUUCGCCCAUUAAAGCGGUACGCGAGCUGGGUUCAGAACGUCGUGAGACAGUUCGGUCCCUAUCCGUCGUGGGCGCAGGAAAUUUGAGAGGAUCUGUCCUUAGUACGAGAGGACCGGGAUGGACAUACCUCUGGUGUACCAGUUGUUCUGCCAAGAGCACCGCUGGGUAGCUACGUAUGGAUUAGAUAAUCGCUGAAAGCAUCUAAGUGAGAAACUAACCUCGAGAUGAGAUUUCCCAUUCGUCAGAAGUAAGACCCCUGAGAGACGAUCAGGUAGAUAGGCUAGAAGUGGAAGUGUAGUGAUGCAUGGAGCGGACUAGUACUAAUAGGUCGAGGACUUAACCAAG